AUUGAACGCUGGCGGAAUGCUUUACACAUGCAAGUCGAGCGGCAGCGCGGGGCAACCUGGCGGCGAGCGGCGAACGGGUGAGUAAUGCAUCGGAACAUGUCCAUGUCGUGGGGGAUAGCCCGGCGAAAGCCGGAUUAAUACCGCAUACGCCCGAGAGGGGAAAGUGGGGGACUCGCAAGGGCCUCACGCGAUUGGGUUGGCCGAUGUCCGAUUAGCUAGUUGGCGGGGUAAGAGCCCACCAAGGCGAUGAUCGGUAGCUGGUCUGAGAGGAUGAUCAGCCACACUGGGACUGAGACACGGCCCAGACUACUACGGGAGGCAGCAGUGGGGAAUUUUGGACAAUGGGGGCAACCCUGAUCCAACCAUUCCGCGUGAGUGAAGAAGGCCUUCGGGUUGUAAAGCUCUUUUGUCCGGAAUGAAACGGUACGGGUGCAUAUCCUGUGCUACUGACGGUACCGGAAGAAUAAGCACCGGCUAACUACGUGCCAGCAGCCGCCGUAAAAC
rnacentral:rRNA from 1 species